rnacentral:rRNA from 1 species
AAUAAAACGAAAUUAUUCGCCAGAGUACUACUAGCAACAGCUUAAAACUCAAAGGACUUGGCGGUGCUUUAUAUCCUUCUAGAGGAGCCUGUUCUAUAAUCGAUAAACCCCGAUAAACCCUCACCAAUUCUUGCUAAUACAGUCUAUAUACCGCCAUCUUCAGCAAACCCUAAAAAGGAAAAAAAGUAAGCGUAAUUAUGAUACAUAAAAACGUUAGGUCAAGGUGUAACCUAUGAAAUGGGAAGAAAUGGGCUACAUUCUCUACACUAAGAGAAUCAAGCACGAAAGUUAUUAUGAAACCAAUAACCAAAGGAGGAUUUAGCAGUAAACUAAGAAUAGAGUGCUUAGUUGAAUUAGGCCAUGAAGCACGCACACACCGCCGUUAACCUCAA